rnacentral:tRNA from 1 species
GCCCGGGUGGCGGAAUUGGUAGACGCGCUGGUCUCAAACACCAGUGGUAGCAAUAUCGUGCCGGUUCGAUCCCGGCCUCGGGUA